GACGAACGCUGGCGGCGUGCUUAACACAUGCAAGUCGAACGGAAAGGCCCUGCUUUUGUGGGGUGCUCGAGUGGCGAACGGGUGAGUAACACGUGAGUAACCUGCCCUUGACUUUGGGAUAACUUCAGGAAACUGGGGCUAAUACCGGAUAGGAGCUCCUGCUGCAUGGUGGGGGUUGGAAAGUUUCGGCGGUUGGGGAUGGACUCGCGGCUUAUCAGCUUGUUGGUGGGGUAGUGGCUUACCAAGGCUUUGACGGGUAGCCGGCCUGAGAGGGUGACCGGCCACAUUGGGACUGAGAUACGGCCCAGACUCAUACGGGAGGCAGCAGUGGGGAAUAUUGCACAAUGGGCGGAAGCCUGAUGCAGCAACGCCGCGUGCGGGAUGACGGCCUUCGGGUGGUAAACCGCUUUCGCCUGUGACGAAGCGUGAGUGACGGAAAUGGGUAAAGAAGCACCGGCUAACUACGG
rnacentral:rRNA from 1 species